GUGCUGCUUUGGCAGCACACGUACUAAAACUGGAAUAACGCAGAGAUUACCACGACCCCUGAGCAAGGAUAACACAGUAAUUUGUGAUGUGCGCCAUAAAAAG